GUGACCUCAAAUCAGGUAGGACUACCCGCUGAACUUAAGCAUAUCAAUAAGCGGAGGAAAAGAAACUAACAAGGAUUCCCCUAGUAACUGCGAGUGAAGCGGGAAAAGCUCAAAUUUAAAAUCUGACAGUCUUUGGCUGUCCGAGUUGUAAUCUAGAGAAGUGUUAUCCGCGCUGGACCGUGUACAAGUCUCCUGGAAUGGAGCGUCAUAGAGGGUGAGAAUCCCGUCUUUGACACGGACUACCAGGGCUUUGUGAUGCGCUCUCAAAGAGUCG
rnacentral:rRNA from 1 species